GACGGAGGAUGCAAGUGUUAUCCGGAAUCACUGGGCGUAAAGAGUGUGUAGGUGGAUUUGUAAGUUGGUUGUUAAAUCUCGGAGCUCAACUCCGUAGCUGCAACCAAAACUGCUUAUCUUGAGUGUGGUAGAGGACAGUGGAAUUCCUGGUGUAGGGGUAAAAUCCGUAGAUAUCAGGAGGAACACCAAAGGCGAAGGCAGCUGUCUGGGCCAUUACUGACAUUGAGACACGAAAGCGUGGGUAGCGAACGGG
rnacentral:rRNA from 1 species